AGUGUAACUGCCGAGGUCAGCAGUAGACAUGUAGUCACAUACUCUCGCCAUCUCAGUGAUCAGGAUUGAGUUGAUAUAAAGGUUUAGCUGGUCUAAGGCGCGAACGUUUUCACGGUGUGAAUAAACAUCAUAUUACAUCAGUAAGAAGCGUCGAGUCUGUUUUUGUUCGAAGACCAGCACCCUACGGGCGCUCAUAGUGCGCUA